CCAUUAUUAACUGAGAAUCUCCGUAUAGAGGAGGCAAGAUGGUGGCAUUCCUAGUUCAUUUCGCGCAGAACUGAACACAAGAAAAGUUCCCUACAGAAGGAAGAGAAAAGAAAAGAAAAGGAGAAGAAACAAGAGUUUGCCACACGACUGUCGUCAUCGUCGUGGUUGGAGGCGUGCAGGGUUUCGAAAGGUUAAAUGACCAAAACAACCCUCACAUCUUAGCAAUUCAUGGGGGUAUAUCCGUCUUCACACAUGAUCAGAAGCCCUAGUUAUGAUACGCAUUUUUCUCCUCCCCAUUUGCAUUGGUCGAUUCUGCAGUCCGGCGGCUUGUCUACUAUUCUUCAUAGUUUUCUCUGAUCACAUCUUCCCUCGUUUAAGGAAUGGAAUCGCAGAUCAAGCAUGCUGUGGUGGUCAAAGUGAUGGGUAGAACUGGAUCAAGAGGGCAGGUAACUCAAGUGAGAGUCAAGUUUCUCGAUGAUCAAAAUCGUUACAUUAUGAGGAAUGUCAAGGGACCAGUGAGGGAAGGAGACAUUCUUACCCUGCUGGAGUCUGAGAGGGAAGCUAGAAGGUUGCGUUAACGUUGAUGGGGACUCUGUCAAGGUCCCAGUUCUCCGAUUUGCAGUUGUUGAAUGUAGAAUGGCUGUUUUCAUAUUCCCCUAAUUGUGUGAUUUUAGUGACUAGCUUGUCCAAGACAUUUGGAUCUAAGGCAGAAUACGUGAACUGGAUGAGUUAUUUAAUGGAGUUUUGAAAGCAUCAAUUUUGCUUAUUAUGGAGUUUAUGUCAAAUUUUGUGGUUGUUUACAGACUGCGUGGUAUUUUUGGUGUUAUUCAAGUCAUGCAUACAA